AAACUGCGAUAAGUAGUGUGAAUUGCAUUUAGAGAAUCAUCGAAUCUUUGAACGCACCCUGCACUCACUGGUAUUCCGGUGAGUACGCCUGUUUCAGUAUCAUUGAAAACACACAAUCAAAACAUUUUCUUUGGUUUGAUUGGCUUUGGGUCUAUCAAAAAGUUUGGCUUGUUUCUUACAAGCCAAGCGGCCUGAAAUAUAUUGUCUGGCUAAUUGCAUCGUUGAUGAUCGCUAUUAGACUUUGGCUUUUUUAAAUGAACUGGAGGUUGAUUAACCAGUUUUAGCUUUAGUCAAAUGGUCAUUGUAAAAAAAAUCUCGAUCUUGGCUAGGUGUUUAUAGCCGAAAAUUUUUUUUUGGCUAUAACCGAAACCAAUAUAAUCACAUUUAGUUAUCGAUCUGAAAUCAGGUGGGACUACCCGCUGAACUUAAGC
rnacentral:misc_RNA from 1 species